UACGCCCGUUCGUUCGCCGGCGCCCCUCGGGGCCGAAGAGGGAACACAGGGCGCGUGCCGCGCCGCUGUGGCUGCCCCCGCAACUGUAGGCAGCGAGCCCGCCUCCAUCUCGCGCCACUGGCUUGUCCGGGAAGGCCUGGAGCGGGCGUCGACCUGUCAGCCAGGAGACCUGCCGGCUUGAAAGUGCGUGCG
rnacentral:ncRNA from 15 species